rfam:Erwinia sp. EM595 isolate E_g_EM595 genome assembly, chromosome: 1
AACACUGACUCGGGGUGCCCUUUUUUAUAAAGGCUGAGAAAUACCCGUAUUACCUGACCUGGAUAAUGCCAGCGUAGGGAAGUCAAAUGCCUGACCG